AACGAACGCUGGCGGCAUGCCUAACACAUGCAAGUCGAACGAGACCUUCGGGUCUAGUGGCGCACGGGUGCGUAACGCGUGGGAACCUGCCCUUAGGUUCGGAAUAACUCCCCGAAAGGGGUGCUAAUACCGGAUAAUGUCUUCGGACCAAAGAUUUAUCGCCUUUGGAUGGGCCCGCGUUGGAUUAGCUAGUUGGUAGGGUAAAAGCCUACCAAGGCGACGAUCCAUAGCUGGUCUGAGAGGAUGAUCCGCUACACUGGGACUGAGACACGGCCCAGACUCCUACGGGAGGCAGCAGUGGGGAAUAUUGGACAAUGGGCGAAAGCCUGAUCCAGCAAUGCCGCGUGAGUGAUGAAGGCCUUAGGGUUGUAAAGCUCUUUUACCCGGGAUGAUAAUGACAGUACCGGGAGAAUAAGCUCCGGCUAACUCCGUG
rnacentral:rRNA from 1 species